rnacentral:rRNA from 1 species
UAGCCGCAGAAUCUGUGCUAAGGUAGCAUAAUCAUUUGUCUUUUAAUUAAAGACUAGAAUGAAAGGUUAAACGAAUAAAAAAUUUUAAAUUCAAUAUUAUUUUAAAUUAAAUUUAUUGUAAAAAUACAAUAAUAAAAUAAAAAGACGACAAGACCCUGUUGAACUUAACUAUUGUUAUACUGGGGUAGUAUUUUAAUAAAAAUUUUAACUUAAUAAUUUUAAUAUUAUCCUUUUUAAAAAUUAAAGUUACCACAGGGAUAACAGCGCAAUUUAUUUUUAAAGUUCUUAUUAAAAAAUAAGAUUACGACCUCGAUGUUGAAUUAAUAUAUCAAGUAAAUGUAAAAUUUUAAUAGAAAGUCUGUUCGACUUUUAAAUAAUUACAUGAUCUG